UAUAUAUAUUUAUAUCGUGUUAAUUGUGUUAUUGAUUAUGUAUCACUGUGUGUCAGAUUGAUUGAAUUGGAUUGAUGAUGUCAGCAGAACCUCACGUCCGUGCAGCUCCUGAACCUCUGCGGGUCGAUCCGGUUCGGACCACAGAACUGGUCUGCCCUGAUCUGGACCUGUCCAUCACUCUCACCCCUGAACGACCAGCAGGCCGACGCCAUCGACAGGCUCAGCCCUUAAAAUAUCAUUCAUGAAGGAGUAAACGUCCUAAUCUGUCUGCAGACGUGUGCGUCGUCACGAAAGUUUAUCAUGUCCCAGAUAGCACAGGUCAUGGGUUAGAUAAUAACCGCUAGCGUGUGACGGACAGCUGACGGAAGGGGCGGGGCUAAACAGCACCCUGACGCUGGGGGCGGAGCUUCAGGAAGUGGAGAAUCAGGUGUUUGAUCUUGAGAAAGCCGUGAGAGCGAAAUUACAGAGUUCAUGCUUCACAAAGCACCGCAUCAGCAGCAAAGCAGCAGAGGUUCCCGUCUCUGCCACUAGAGGCUCCUGAUCUGCUGCACUUCUACAGUCCUGACAAGAUGCUCAGAGAGACUCCGCUGUUGCCAGGCGACCGCAUCUCUAUGCCCCGCCCACGGCCUGUGCCUAGACCCGCCCACACAACCCUUCACCUACAUCAUCGGCACAAACUCUGGGAGUCAUGAACUGUGUGUGUGUGUGCGUGUGUGUGUGUGUGUGUGUGUGUGUGUGUGUGUGUGUGUGUGUGUGUGUGUGUGUGUGUGUGUGUGGAAGAGAGAAUGUCUGCUUUGAUUGGGUGAUGACUGUGUGUCAUUCAUAUUGUAAGCUUUACUGUAUAUUAUUGAUGUAUUGUUUUUAGCUAAACGUGAAUUAAUAUAAUAGCAAUAAAUAUGUGGCACUGAGUGAAUGUACAAACACACUCUUGCUGGAGGAAAUCUUCUGCACAGUAGCUCAGCGUUCACCGGGGAUACUCAUUAAAACAAUCAAUCCACAAAUGAAUUAGCGUGAUCAACAAGAGCACUGAUUUCUCUGCUCGGAUGUGUGUUAAACGUCUAAAAGUGUGAAUCUCAGCAACAAAUCUGGCGUAAUUCACACUAAAAUCAAAGGAAAAGAAAUUAUAUUAUACAUGAAGAAAUUUGAGGAUCAUUAUAAUUUUUUGCAUUGUGACUAUUUUCAUAAUCUCAUUAGCAGCUCAAAUUCAGUUCUGUAAUUCUCUUUACUUGAAGCAUGUUUUAUACAAUUAUUUUUAAAGCAUUAAUUACACCUUUUAAUAAUGCAACUUAUAAUGCAUUGUAUGAUCACAUGAAAAAUUAUAAUACUUAUCUUUACUAUUUUAGAAAGUAUAAUUAAUUAAAACACGACAGACAACCGAUUAGAGAUGAAAUAGCAAGGAA